AUUUUCAAUUUUUUAUUAAUUUGUGCAGCUGCACAGUGACUGAGGUAAAAACCAGGCCAGUUGUUACUUAACAAGCUUGACAUGCAUCCACCUCUUUUGAGUCUGUCGUACACAAGGUCACAAUAUUACAAAGUGACUGGAAUCAAAUAAUCCUUCACAAAGCAAAGUAGCUGAGUAAGGCUUUUUUUCAUCUGAUGUCCUCUAUACUCAUUUUAAUAAUGUGCAUUUUGCCAGAGUGCGUUUUUGGAGUGAGAAACUGUCAAUGAAUAUAACUAAUAAUCUUACAUCUGGGAAACUAAUGGAUUUAAGUAUGGAGUUUGAGCAGAAAGAUCAAUGCUACAUGUCACAGCAUAUUCAGUAACAGUAUUGUCAAAUCAUCUUUUGACUGAAAUGGCAUCCCAAUUUUGGUAUUCAAUUUAUUCAUGGGCAUUACAGUAUAUUUUCAUGUACCACGUAAUUUUAUCACUUGCUGUAUUAGAGUUAGAUCUACGAUUUCAGUACCAAAAAAUAUUUAUGUUUUCUCUACAUAAACCACAUUUUUAAUUUUUUUUUUUCAGAUAUGAUUUUUAGUUUACUACAGUGCAACCAAGUGGUGGGUGCCUGGUGAUGAAGGCAGUACACUGGCAAGUUGUGCUUCAUAAGAGAGACUGAAAGUUAUAUGAAUACUCAGCAAUAAAUGUAAAGCAAUAAUGUCUCAUAGAUAGAAUAAUUCUCUUUCACAGGACAAGAAAGUAAAUGUACAAGACAGAAAGACAUUCAGUUUUAACUGUUCAGCACUACCGACUGUACUAGCACAUGGAAAAAAUACUUUUUUUUCACAAUGUCGACAGAUGUACCUUAAUGAA